rnacentral:lncRNA from 1 species
UAAGGGCACUGGUGAGCCAUUUCUCCAGCAUGACUCAGAGGACUGUUAGAGACAAGUUUGCUCGUCUCACUCAAAUGGCAACUAUCCUCAACUUAGAGAAGGUAUCUGAGAUUCUAGAUUUCUGGGGUGAAAACUCGGGACCUAUGACCUGGAGAUUAACCCCUGCUGAGGUUAGGCGAGUGUUGGGUCUCAGGAUUGAUUUUAAACCUGAAGCGAUUGCCGCUCUGAAAUUGUAAUCGAAAUUGCCUUCAUUUUCUCAACCCAGUGGACCAACAACACAAAAUCACAUCCGAGAUGCAGUCUUUUUCUGGCGGGCUAGGACAUUGCUAUAUUCUUUUAUUGUUUGCUGAGCUUCUGAUAUCGAUUUCUUCUCAUCUUUUAACCCAAGUUUUCCUCUGCUAUAUUUUAUUGAGUUUGUCUGAUCUUUGAACUUUUUUACACUCGAGAAACGUAAAACAUGCUUAGAUUGCGAGACAACCAAUGAAUUUUGCUUGUACAAAUUUGGACAAAUUUGCAGUAUAAUACUUCAUCCGUUUGUAAUUGGGAGAUAGAGCAAAGUAAUUAUAUUGUUCUUGUGUAAAGAAUAAUUCCUUUCACAUUAUUGUAGCACUCAUUAUAAUUACUCCUUUUUUAUUUUUUUAUAAAUUUGGUUGAUCCCUUUUUUUUUUUUUUUUUCAAGCCCUGAAUGUUGGCAUGGAACAACUUGUGGCAACUGUGACACCUCGAAUCCGUCCAGUGUUGGAUGGAGUAGCAACCAUUAGCUAUGAGCUAUCUGAGGUGGAAUAUGCAGAUAAUGAGGUAAAUGACCCAUGGGUCCAGAGACUUCUCCAUUCUGUUGAGACAAAUGUGUCAUGGCUCCAGUCACUAAUGACUGCCAACAAUUACGAUUCAUUUGUCCAUUUGGUUAUUGACUUCAUUGUGAAGAGGCUUGAAGUGAUAAUGAUGCAGAAGAGGUUUAGUCAGCUUGGAGGCCUUCAACUCGACAGAGAUAUAAGGGCACUGGUGAGCCAUUUCUCCAGCAUGACUCAGAGGACUGUUAGAGACAAGUUUGCUCGUCUCACUCAAAUGGCAACUAUCCUCAACUUAGAGAAGGUAUCUGAGAUUCUAGAUUUCUGGGGUGAAAACUCGGGACCUAUGACCUGGAGAUUAACCCCUGCUGAGGUUAGGCGAGUGUUGGGUCUCAGGAUUGAUUUUAAACCUGAAGCGAUUGCCGCUCUGAAAUUGUAAUCGAAAUUGCCUUCAUUUUCUCAACCCAGUGGACCAACAACACAAAAUCACAUCCGAGAUGCAGUCUUUUUCUGGCGGGCUAGGACAUUGCUAUAUUCUUUUAUUGUUUGCUGAGCUUCUGAUAUCGAUUUCUUCUCAUCUUUUAACCCAAGUUUUCCUCUGCUAUAUUUUAUUGAGUUUGUCUGAUCUUUGAACUUUUUUACACUCGAGAAACGUAAAACAUGCUUAGAUUGCGAGACAACCAAUGAAUUUUGCUUGUACAAAUUUGGACAAAUUUGCAGUAUAAUACUUCAUCCGUUUGUAAUUGGGAGAUAGAGCAAAGUAAUUAUAUUGUUCUUGUGUAAAGAAUAAUUCCUUUCACAUUAUUGUAGCACUCAUUAUAAUUACUCCUUUUUUAUUUUUUUAUAAAUUUGGUUGAUCCCUUUUUUUUUUUUUUUUUGUAAUGUAAUAAAAAUGAUAAUUGAGAAAAAAGAUAAAUAGAAGAGGUGUUUUU